rnacentral:sRNA from 1 species
GCUGGGCGCAGUGGCGCAUGCCUGUAAUCCCAGUAGCUCUGGAGGCCGAGGCAGGAGGAUUGCGAGUUCAAAGCCAGUCUCAGCAAAGGCAAGGCACUAAGCAACUCAGUGAGACCCUGACUCUA